AGUGGCAUUUGUUUUCCUGCUAGAAUGGACUGUUUUGUAAAACUGAAAUGAAAAAAUGUGAAUGUACAAUUCAUUUCAGUUUUACAAAACAGUCCAUUCUAGCAGGAAAACAAAUGCCACU
rnacentral:miRNA from 1 species